rnacentral:rRNA from 1 species
UACGGGGGGGGCGAGCGUUGUUCGGAAUCACUGGGCGUAAAGGGCGCGUAGGCGGCCCGCACAAGUCUGCGGUGAAAACCCCCGGCUUAACCGGGGGCCGGCCGUGGAAACUGUCGGGCUGGAGGACGGGAGAGGGCGGCGGAAUUCCCGGUGUAGCGGUGAAAUGCGUAGAGAUCGGGAGGAACACCGGCGGCGAAGGCGGCCGCCUGGACCGGCCCUGACGCUGAGGCGCGAAAGCUAGGGGAGCAAACAGG